rnacentral:rRNA from 1 species
UGGGGAAUCUUGCGCAAUGGGCGAAAGCCUGACGCAGCGACGCCGCGUGCGGGAAGAAGGCCUUCGGGUUGUAAACCGCUUUCAGGAGGGACGAAGCCACUCGGGUUAAUAGCCCAGAGGGUGACGGUACCUCCAGAAGAAGCCCCGGCUAACUACGUGCCAGCAGCCGCGGUAAUACGUAGGGGGCUAGCGUUGUCCGGAUUUAUUGGGCGUAAAGAGCGCGUAGGCGGCCGAGUAAGUCCGACGUGAAAUCUGGAGGCUCAACCUCCAGCGGUCGUUGGAAACUACUCGGCUAGAGUCCGGAAGAGGAGAGUGGAAUUCCUGGUGUAGCGGUGAAAUGCGCAGAUAUCAGGGAAGAACACCGAUGGCGAAAAGCAGCUCUCUGGGACGGUACUGACGCUGAGGCGCGAAAGCGUGGGGAGCGAACAGGAUUAGAUACCCUGGUAGUCCACGCCGUAAACGAUGGGUGCUAGGUGUGGGCGGUGUCGACUCCGCCCGUGCCGAAGCUAACG